AUGGGCGCCGCGAAGGAACAUAACCGUCUGUUCCGGGACAGGCGAUACCGCUUUUUGUAGUGGGUCUUUAUGCUUCCCUUUGUGGGCGCCUUUGCCAAAAGCAAGGCGAUAAGCCGAUCUUCGCCAACUUCUUUUGGCCCUUCCUUCCCCAACCUCCGCCUGUCCCGCUCCGCUUCCGGGGACGGUAAGGAGACUCCCAGAAAGGUCGCCUCCAUCCUCCGGCUUCAAUCCCUCUGCUCUUCUCCUCUCGGUCGGUCCCCAAGAUUUGUCUCAUUGUGAGUUAAAGAGGGUUCUAGAAACCCUCCUGCGCUGCCAUCUUUCCCCUGUUCUCGUUCCCUUUUCUCGCGGUUUAUCGGCUCGAGUUCUUGAGGUUUCUUUUGCUGCGUUGUUUCGGAUGGUCUUGUUUCGGUUGAGGGUGUGGGGUCUGUUAUGUUUCUGUUGCUUUUUUCUUGUCCCCGAGAGGUUUGAUUUUGCUUCGCGGUGCGGCGACGAGAGUUAUGCUUGGCUUUCUUGCUCUUAGGGUUGUUGGUGGUUCGUUCUGAGCAGUGGAAGUUCUUGUUAUGGAUACUUCAUAUGCAGAGGAAUGCGGUUAUAGUGAUCUUGAUGAGGUUAUCGAGUUUAGAUUUCCUUGGAGGAAGCAGAGGAUGAAACCAGCGAGUUUUUUAGCUUGUUGAUGUUUGAUGGUGGAAGAUGACUUGAGAACGAAAGAGAGGCCCCAAGGACGGUUACCUCCUUCCACCGAUUUCAAACCCUCUUCUCUACUAUAUCGGGGUUUCAAUUUCGUUCGUUCUUCUCCAAGAUUUGCCUCAAUGUGAGUUCAAGAAAGUUCAAGAAACACUCCUCCGCGGCUUCUUUCCCCUGUUUUCGUUGCUUUUCUUUCGGUUUAUCAGUUCGAGUUCUUGAGGUUUCUUUCGCUGCAUCCUUCUGUACAAGUGUAUUUAGAAGAUGUGUAUUUAGCUUGCCUCAACAAAUUGUGUAUUUGACCUAAAUAAUUGUGCUUUUUAUUGUUUACUUUUACAAAUGCAGGCCAGUAAAUUUGACUUAACGGUGAUGAUUUCAUUUUCAUAUUCUAAUUAUCUUUGGCUAUGUUUUCUUGAGCCUGUUCUUGUAAAGCAUGUUUUGGAUUGAUUUCUGGAUCAUGGUUCUAAAUUUGUAGUAAUUGUUUUUGGGUUAGGUCCAAGACAGGUAUGAUAUUUACCUUUUAUUAUUAGUCUUGUGCUCCUACUUGCAUGAUUUUGAAGCAUCAGCAUAUUGACAAUCUUUGAUAACCUUAAAAAGGUCAAAAUGACUUUUCAGUCAAGGACAUGGCUAUCCAAUGGUACACUUUUCAUGCUUUUAACCUAAUUGAUUUAUCUGUGAUUCUGGCAGCUUCCAAUUCAAAGUUGACAGGUUAUCAUGUUUCUACAUUUCCUACUCAAGCCAGAUCAGUUCCUCCCUGUUUUCAUCCUCAAGUUGCAGAUGACAUAAUAGAUCCACCGCUACUUAAGGUUCUGGUCUUAACCCUGAUUUUCAUGGGUAUGGUCAUUUAAGUUCCCUUCGGGAGUUAGAAGCAAGCAGCAACUAUGGUCAUCUUGAGAUAAAUUGUCCGUCUACAACUGCAAUUUGUGGUGACAAUUUCUUGCAGUCAACUCAGCUUCUUUCUCCUCAUUGUCGACCUAUUUGAGCUGAUUUUGGCAGAAGCAAAACGACGUUAUCAUAUUUGGCUGAUAACUCGCAUGUAUCAAAUGAAAGCAGAGCUUCUGUCAUGGAUUACAUGUCUUGGCAAAACAGAAUGAACAUUUGCAAUGCUCCCCGGGGAUCUUGUAGUAUGGGCAGUUACACCGGAAGAGUGUCCAAGGUCACAGAAGGAAGUUUGUCUGAUAUUCUAAAUAGCCUUAUUCCUGGAUCAAAAUAUGGAUCUCUCCGAUGAACAUGAUGUCUGCAUGAUUUACAUGUCUAGUUAUUGUAGUAUCUCAAGUUGUGCACCAAAUUAUUGGAGUUGAUAUAGGUUUUGAAGUACAUCAACUUGUGCAUCGUCGUCGUCGUCGUAAUGCUUGUGAUCUUCAGCUGAAGCAAUGCCAGCAGAUGUCUCUUAUUUUUCUGUUGAACUGUGGCCAUGAGAGCUAGAAUCACCAUACCAGGGAGUGUUGGUUUGUUCCAAAGUUGAUGAUGUCCUCUUGAACUUAAUGUGAUGGACUAUAUGCCAAGGCAAGUAGGCCAUGAAAGAUUAAACUGGUGGUAUGGAUUCAGAGGGAGAUGCGCUGUGAAAGUUAACCUGUGUUGCUGUGUCUCUCCGCCAAAAGGGUAUCUUCACCACCUUUCGUCAGCACGAGCAUGGGAAUCACCCCUCUCACAUUCAUUUGGUGUCUUCCCGCGUUUAGGUACGUCAUAAGCUCUCGCCAUUCAUUUCGUCAGCGUUGUAAUAAAGGCAAAUAAAAAUAAAGAGACAGCAAAACCACGACUUCUUCGGUUCGGAUAAAAGCUAAACAACAAUAACAAAUUUUGUUGAUGUGACUGGUUCUCACGGAUAGGGC